GGUUAAUAGAGCAGAGUUAAUAGUUCCAGGGUUAAUAGUCCAGGGUUAAUAGUUCCAGGGUUAAUUGUUCCAGGGUUAAUAAUCCAGGGUUAAUAGAUCCAGGGUUAAUAGUCCAGGGUUAAUAGUUCCAGAGUUAAUAGUUCCAGGGUUAAUAGAGCAGGGUUAAUAGUUCCAGGGUUAAUAAUCCAGGGUUAAUAGUCCAGGGUUAAUAUUCCAGGGUUAAUAAUUCCAGGGUUAAUAGUUCCAGGGUUAAUAAUCCAGGGUUAAUAGUUCCAGGGUUAAUAGUUCAAGGGUUAAUAAUCCAGGGUUAAUAGUUCCAGGGU
ensembl:lncRNA